UACGUAGGGAGCAAGCGUUGUCCGGAAUCAUUGGGCGUAAAGCGCGCGUAGGCGGCCCCGUAAGUCCGCUGUGAAAGUCAAAGGCUCAACCUUUGAAAGCCGGUGGAUACUGUGGGGCUAGAGUACGGAAGAGGCGAGUGGAAUUCCCGGUGUAGCGGUGAAAUGCGCAGAUAUCGGGAGGAACACCAAUGGCGAAGGCAGCUCGCUGGGACGGUACUGACGCUGAGACGCGAAAGCGUGGGGAGCAAACAGG
rnacentral:rRNA from 1 species